AUAUUUCUCUGGCAGGGGAGACACCUUGUCCACGAAGGUGGCUUUCCAGGGCAAGGCUUAUCCAUUGUCCUCCAGAUGUGCUGACCCCUGCCAUUUCUGCACAUGAGGGAAACUCGACUGCAUACUUUAUCGUAGCUGGGGACUGCAUUUAUUCUCUCCCCUA
ensembl:snRNA U1 U1 spliceosomal RNA